UGGCUCUGGCAUCGAUGAAGAACGCAGCGAAAUGCGAUAAGUAGUGUGAAUUGCAGAAUUCAGCGAAUCAUCGAAUCUUUGAACGCACAUUGCGCCCUUCGGUUAUUCCUUAGGGCAUGCCUGUUCGAGCGUCAUUUCAACCUUCAAGCUCAGCUUGGUGUUGGGUGCUGUCCCCGCCGCUUCGGCGCGUGGACUCGCCUUAAAUUGAUUGGCAGCCGCAACCUCCGCCGCGAGCGCAGCACAGUCGCGCUAACGACGGGUCGGGUUGGGGGCUCUCCAGAAGCUUAUAUCAACGUCUUGACCUCGGAUCAGGUAGGGAUACCCGCUGA
rnacentral:misc_RNA from 1 species